UACGAAGAGGGCGAGCGUUGUUCGGAUUUACUGGGCGUAAAGGGCGCGCAGGCGGCUAUCCAAGUCCGGCGUGAAAGCCCCGGGCUUAACCUGGGAGGUGCGUCUGGGACUGGGUGGCUAGAGUUCGGGAGAGGAGAGUGGAAUUCCCAGUGUAGAGGUGAAAUUCGUAGAUAUUGGGGAGAACACCGGUGGCGAAGGCGGCUCUCUGGACCGAGACUGACGCUGAGGCGCGAAAGCGUGGGGAGCAAACAGG
rnacentral:rRNA from 1 species